rnacentral:rRNA from 1 species
UACGUAGGGGGCAAGCGUUGUCCGGAAUCAUUGGGCGUAAAGAGCGUGUAGGCGGUCCGAUCAGUCCGCUGUGAAAGUCCAGGGCUCAACCCUGGAAAGCCGGUGGAUACUGUCGGGCUAGAGUCCGGAAGAGGCGAGUGGAAUUCCUGGUGUAGCGGUGAAAUGCGCAGAUAUCAGGAGGAACACCGAUGGCGAAGGCAGCUCGCUGGGACGGUACUGACGCUGAGACGCGAAAGCGUGGGGAGCAAACGGG